rnacentral:rRNA from 1 species
UACGUAGGGGGCAAGCGUUGUCCGGAUUUAUUGGGCGUAAAGAGCGUGUAGGCGGCUAGAUAGGUCCGUUGUGAAAACUCGAGGCUCAACCUCGAGACGCCGGUGGAAACCAUCUAGCUAGAGUCCGGAAGAGGAGAAUGGAAUUCCUGGUGUAGCGGUGAAAUGCGCAGAUAUCAGGAAGAACACCCGUGGCUAAGGCGGUUCUCUAGUACGGUACUGACGCUGAGACGCGAAAGCGUGGGGAGCGAACAGG